UCCCCCUUCCCCCCCUGCAGUUUCUUAAUAUGGUGAAUUAACACUGAUAUUUGAAUGUUAAGUGAACCCUGCAGUCUUGGAAUAAACCCCACUUGGUCAUGAGAGCAACAUCUCAGACACGUCGAAAAAGAUGUUUUGAUCCCUAAAAUAAUGACAGAAAAGGCCAGAGAGAGGUGUUCUGAACAAGUUCAAGAUUUUACCGAAUGUUGCAAGAACUCUGGACUCCUUAUGGUAGUAAAAUGCCAAAAAGAAAACUCUGCAUUGAAAGAGCGUCUAACUGCUUACUAUAAUGAUCCAGUCUUUUACGAAGAAUGCAAAAUGGAAUACUUGAAGGAAAGGGAAGAAUUUAGAAAAACUGGAAUUCCUACCAAGAAAAGGCUAGAGAAGCUUCCCACGAGCAUGUAGGCAAAUAUUCCAGUGAUACUUAGGAACUCUAAUAUUUAUGGAAGUCAUUCAUAGUAUAAAU